CGUAGGUGGCAAGCGUUGUCCGGAUUUAUUGGGUUUAAAGGGUGCGUAGGCGGCCCUGUAAGUCAGUGCUGAAAUAUCCCGGCUUAACCGGGAGGGUGGCUUUGAUACUGCAGGGCUUGAGUAAAGUUGAGGUAGGCGGAAUUGACGGUGUAGCGGUGAAAUGCUUAGAUAUCGUCAAGAACACCGAUAGUGUAGACAGCUUACUAAGCUUUAACUGACGCUGAGGCACAAAAGUGUGGGGAUCAAACAGGAUUAGAUACCCUGGUAGUCCACACUGUAAACGUUGAAGACUCGCUGUUGGCGAUACACAGUCAGCGGCUGAGAGAAAUCGUUAAGUCUUCCACCUGGGGAGUACGCCGGCAACGGUG
rnacentral:rRNA from 1 species